AUCAAUGAUGUCCUGGGCAUGAAUGAGAAGCUGGGUGACUCAGACUUCAUGUCUGGAGUUGUUGCCAUGGUUGCAGAAAUUGGAGGAGCAUCCUUGGAUGACGCAAUACGACGGGCUAUGCGAUUCCUGAUGUCCCAUGAAUUAGCAGUCCAGUUCAACCUGUUUGGCCGACAUGGGAAACACCAGUUCCGGGACCUGCGUCUCUUUGAUGUUGUGUAUGGGGCACUUAAAAGAAAUGGUUCCAUCGUUGGACUCACACAUAAAGAUGUGGAAAAGGCACUCUCAAAGUGGUUCACUGGAGCCC